CCUACGGGAGGCUGCAGUGAGGAAUAUUGGUCAAUGGGCGCGAGCCUGAACCAGCCAAGUAGCGUGAAGGAUGACUGCCCUACGGGUUGUAAGCUUCUUUUAUAAAGGAAUAAAGUGAGGCACGUGUGCCUUUUUGUAUGUACUUUAUGAAUAAGGAUCGGCUAACUCCGUGCCAGCAGCCGCGGUAAUACGGAGGAUCCGAGCGUUAUCCGGAUUUAUUGGGUUUAAAGGGAGCGUAGAUGGGUUGGUAAGUCAGUUGUGAAAGUUUGCGGCUCAACCGUAAAAUUGCAAUUGAUACUGGCAGGCUGGAGUACAGUUGAGGUAGGCGGAAUUCGUGGUGUAGCGGUGAAAUGCUUAGAUAUCACGAAGAACUCCGAUUGCGAAGGCAGCUUACUAAACUGCAACUGACAUUGAUGCUCGAAAGCGUGGGGAGCAAACAGGAUUAGAUACCCCAGUAGUC
rnacentral:rRNA from 1 species